UACAGAGGUCUCAAGCGUUGUUCGGAUUCAUUGGGCGUAAAGGGUGCGUAGGUGGCGCUGUAAGUCAGGUGUGAAAUUUCGGAGCUUAACUCCGAAACUGCAUUUGAUACUGCGGUGCUUGAGGACUGGAGAGGAGACUGGAAUUUACGGUGUAGCAGUGAAAUGCGUAGAUAUCGUAAGGAAGACCGGUGGCGAAGGCGGCAUCCUGGACCAACACUGACGCUGAGGAGCGAAAGCCAGGGGAGCAAACGGG
rnacentral:rRNA from 1 species